rnacentral:lncRNA from 1 species
ACGAAAAUAAAAAUUAAUUACACAGUUCAUCUAUAAUUUACGAGACAAAUCUUUUAAGCUUAGUUAGUCUAUGAUUAGAUAAUAUUUGUCAAAUACAAACAAAAGUACUAUAGUGUCUAUUUUGAAAAAAAAAUAAAAGUAAACAAGGCCUAAAAGAAGUAGCACCAGUCUUAAGAGUCCGGUGAAACUCAUACAAGAAUCUAUAACUGAAGAUCUCAAAUCCUCACAAACAUACACCGAUCAAACAGUCGAUGAGAACAUCAACUGUGCUAUUGGAGUAUAUUAAUGAGGAUCCCAAUUGUGCUCCCUGAUUCUGAGUGAUUUAAAAUCAUUUGGCAAGCUGUCUGUGAAGUGAUAUCUGAAAUGGAUGAUUUUGCUGGAAUUGUCCAUAAGGUAAAGUAAAAUUUAACUUUAAGGUUAUAUGCCCUC